UACGAGAGGCCCAAACGUUAUUCGGAUUUACUGGGCUUAAAGAGUUCGUAGGCGGUCCGUCAAGUGAGGUGUGAAAGCCCUCGGCUCAACCGAGGAAUUGCGCUUCAAACUGUCGGGCUCGAGGGAGAUAGAGGUGAGCGGAACUGAUGGUGGAGCGGUGAAAUGCGCAGAUAUCAGGAAGAACACCCGUGGCGAAAGCGGCUCUCUGGAACGGUACUGACGCUGAGACGCGAAAGCGUGGGGAGCGAACAGG
rnacentral:rRNA from 1 species